AUUGAACGCUGGCGGCAUGCCUUACACAUGCAAGUCGAACGGCAGCAUGGAGAGCUUGCUCUCUGAUGGCGAGUGGCGAACGGGUGAGUAAUGCAUCGGAACGUACCGUGUAAUGGGGGAUAACGUAGCGAAAGUUACGCUAAUACCGCAUACGACCUGAGGGUGAAAGCAGGGGAUCGCAAGACCUUGCGUUAUACGAACGUGCGAUGGCAGAUUAGCUAGUUGGUGAGGUAAAGGCUCACCAGGGCGACGAUCUGGAGCGGGUCUGAGAGGAUGAUCCGCCACACUGGGACUGAGACACGGCCAAGACUCCUACGGGAGGCAGCAGUGGGGAAUUUUGGACAAUGGGGGCAACCCUGAUCCAGCCAUGCCGCGUGAGUGAAGAAGGCCUUCGGGUUGUAAAGCUCUUUCGGCCGGGAAGAAAUCGCACAGGCUAAUACUCUGUGUGGAUGACGGUACCGGCAUAAGAAGCACCGGCUAACUACGUGCCAGCAGCCGCCGUAA
rnacentral:rRNA from 1 species